rnacentral:rRNA from 1 species
AUUGCCUCAGUAACGGCGAGUGAAGCGGCAACAGCUCAAAUUUGAAAUCUGGCCCUUUCAGGGCCCGAGUUGUAAUUUGGAGAAGAUGCUUCGGGUGCGGCCCCGGUCUAAGUUCCUUGGAACAGGACGUCACAGAGGGUGAGAAUCCCGUACGUGCCCGGUGGUCGCCCCCGUGUGAAGCUCUUUCGACGAGUCGAGUUGUUUGGGAAUGCAGCUCAAAAUGGGUGGUAAAUUUCAUCUAAAGCUAAAUAUUGGCCAGAGACCGAUAGCGCACAAGUAGAGUGAUCGAAAGAUGAAAAGCACUUUGGAAAGAGAGUUAAACAGUACGUGAAAUUGUUGAAAGGGAAGCGCUUGCAACCAGACUUGCGCGCGGCCGAUCAUCCGGUGUUCGCACCGGUGCACUCGACCGCGCGCAGGCCAGCAUCGGUUUGGGUGGCUGGAGAAAGGCCACGGGAAUGUGGCUCCCCUCGGGGAGUGUUAUAGCCCGCGGCGCAAUGCAGCCCACCCGGACCGAGGACCGCGCUUCGGCUAGGAUGCUGGCGUAAUGGUUGUAAGCGACCCGUCUUGAAACACGGACCAAGGAGUCUAACAUCUAUGCGAGUGUUUGGGUGUCAAACCCAUACGCGGAAUGAAAGUGAACGGAGGUGAGAACCCUUAAGGGUGCAUCAUCGACCGAUCCUGAUGUCUUCGGAUGGAUUUGAGUAAGAGCAUAGCUGUUGGGACCCGAAAGAUGGUGAACUAUGCCUGAAUAGGGUGAAGCCAGAGGAAACUCUGGUGGAGGCUCGCAGCGGUUCUGACGUGCAAAUCGAUCGUCAAAUUUGGGCAUAGGGGCGAAAGACUAAUCGAACCAUCUAGUAGCUGGUU